AUUGAACGCUGGCGGCAUGCCUUACACAUGCAAGUCGAACGGCAGCACGGGAGCAAUCCUGGUGGCGAGUGGCGAACGGGUGAGUAAUAUAUCGGAACGUGCCCAGUCGUGGGGAUAACGUAGCGAAAGCUACGCUAAUACCGCAUACGAUCUAUGGAUGAAAGCGGGGGAUCGCAAGACCUCGCGCGAUUGGAGCGGCCGAUAUCAGAUUAGGUAGUUGGUGAGGUAAAGGCUCACUAAGCCGACGAUCUGUAGCUGGUCUGAGAGGACGACCAGCCACACUGGGACUGAGACACGGCCCAGACUCCUACGGAGGCAGCAGUGGGGAAUUUUGGGACAAUGGGCGCAAGCCUGAUCCAGCAAUGCCGCGUGCAGGAUGAAGGCCUUCGGUUGUAAACUGCUUUGUACGGU
rnacentral:rRNA from 1 species